UACGUAGGGUGCAAGCGUUAAUCGGAAUUACUGGGCGUAAAGCGUGCGCAGGCGGCUAUGCAAGACAGAUGUGAAAUCCCCGGGCUUAACCUGGGAACUGCAUUUGUGACUGCAUGGCUAGAGUGCGGCAGAGGGGGAUGGAAUUCCGCGUGUAGCAGUGAAAUGCGUAGAUAUGCGGAGGAACACCGAUGGCGAAGGCAGCUCGCUGGGACGGUACUGACGCUGAGGCGCGAAAGCGUGGGGAGCAAACAGG
rnacentral:rRNA from 1 species